CGUGUAGGCUGCGAUGCAAGUCGGAUGUGAAAGCCCUGGGCUCAACCUAGGAAGUGCAUUCGAAACUGCGUUGCUUGAGUUCUGGAGAGGAAGGCGGAAUUCUCGGUGUAGAGGUGAAAUUCGUAGAUAUCGAGAGGAACACCGGUGGCGAAGGCGGCCUUCUGGACAGCAACUGACGCUGAGACGCGAAAGCGUGGGGAGCAAACA
rnacentral:rRNA from 1 species